rnacentral:rRNA from 2 species
GUCCUUUGGUUUUUAUAUUUAAGGUCUAGCCUGCCCACUGAAUUUAUAUUUUAAAUGGCCGCAGUAUUUUGACUGUGCAAAGGUAGCAUAAUCAUUAGUUUUUUAAUUAAAAGCUUGUAUGAAAGGUUGGACGAGGUAAAAUCUGUCUCUAUUUAAAUUAUAGUAGAAUUUAACUUUUAAGUCAAAAGGCUUAAAUAUUAUUAAAAGACGAGAAGACCCUAUAGAUCUUUAUAAUUUAUUAAGUAAAAUUAAUUUAGAAAUUUUAAUGUUUUAUUUAUUUAAAUUAUUUUAUUGGGGUAAUAAAAAGAUUGAAUUAAUUCUUUUUUAUGAUAAACAUUAAUUUAUGAAUAUUAAUGAUCCAAUUUUAUUGAUUAUAAGAUUAAGUUACCUUAGGGAUAACAGCGUAAUUUUUUUAGAGAGUUCAUAUCGAUAAAAAAGUUUGCGACCUCGAUGUUGGAUUAAAGAUUAUUUUAGGUGUAGCAGCUUGAUAAUUUUGGUCUGUUCGACCAUUAAAUCUUUAC